GACGAACGCUGGCGGCGUGCCUAAUACAUGCAAGUAGAACGCACAGUUUAUACCGUAGCUUGCUACACUAUAGACUGUGAGUUGCGAACGGGUGAGUAACGCGUAGGUAACCUGCCUGGUAGCGGGGGAUAACUAUUGGAAACGAUAGCUAAUACCGCAUAAUAUUAAUUAUUGCAUGAUAAUUAAUUGAAAGGUGCAAUUGCACCACUACCAGAUGGACCUGCGUUGUAUUAGCUAGUAGGUGAGGUAACGGCUCACCUAGGCGACGAUACAUAGCCGACCUGAGAGGGUGAUCGGCCACACUGGGACUGAGACACGGCCCAGACUCCUACGGGAGGCAGCAGUAGGGAAUCUUCGGCAAUGGACGAAAGUCUGACCGAGCAACGCCGCGUGAGUGAAGAAGGUUUUCGGAUCGUAAAGCUCUGUUGUAAGAGAAGAACGGGUGUGAGAGUGGAAAGUUCACACUGUGACGGUAUCUUACCAGAAAGGGACGGCUAACUACGUG
rnacentral:rRNA from 1 species